GGACGAACGCUGGCGGCGUGCUUAACACAUGCAAGUCGAGCGGUAAGGCCCUUUCGGGGGUACGACGAGCGGCGAACGGGUGAGUAACACGUGGGUGACCUGCCCUUAGCUCUGGGAUAAGCCUGGGAAACUGGGUCUAAUACCGGAUAUGACUCCAUGACGCAUGUUGUGGGGUGGAAAGCCUUGUGCGGCUAGGGAUGGGCCUGCGGCCUAUCAGCUUGUUGGUGGGGUGAUGGCCACCAAGGCGACGACGGGUAGCCGGCCUGAGAGGGCGACCGGCCACACUGGGACUGAGACACGGCCCAGACUCCUACGGGAGGCAGCAGUGGGGAAUCGUUGCGCAAUGGGCGAAAGCCUGACGCAGCGACGCCGCGUGGGGAUGACGGCCU
rnacentral:rRNA from 1 species